CACGUAGGGUGCGAGCGUUGUCCGGAAUUACUGGGCGUAAAGGGCGCGUAGGCGGUUCGAUAAGUCUUGCGUGAAAUCCCCCGGCUCAACUGGGGAACUGCGCGGGAAACUGUCGGGCUUGAGUUCGGGAGAGGGAAGCGGAAUUCCGGGUGUAGCGGUGAAAUGCGUAGAUAUCCGGAGGAACACCGGUGGCGAAGGCGGCUUCCUGGACCGACACUGACGCUGAGGCGCGAAAGCCAGGGGAGCAAACGGG
rnacentral:rRNA from 1 species